CCUACGGGAGGCAGCAGUGAGGAAUAUUGGUCAAUGGGCGCGAGCCUGAACCAGCCAAGUCGCGUGAGGGAAGACGGUCCUAUGGAUUGUAAACCUCUUUUGUCGGGGAGCAAAAGACGCCACGCGUGGCGUUCCGAGAGUACCCGAAGAAAAAGCAUCGGCUAACUCCGUGCCAGCAGCCGCGGUAAUACGGAGGAUGCGAGCGUUAUCCGGAUUUAUUGGGUUUAAAGGGUGCGCAGGCGGACGAUCAAGUCAGCGGUAAAAUUGAGAGGCUCAACCUCGUCGAGCCGUUGAAACUGGUUUGCUUGAGUGAGCGAGAAGUAUGCGGAAUGCGUGGUGUAGCGGUGAAAUGCAUAGAUAUCACGCAGAACUCCGAUUGCGAAGGCAGCAUACCGGCGCUCAACUGACGCUCAUGCACGAAAGUGUGGGUAUCGAACAGGAUUAGAUACCCCUGUAGUC
rnacentral:rRNA from 1 species